AACGAACGCUGGCGGCAUGCCUAACACAUGCAAGUCGAACGAGACCUUCGGGUCUAGUGGCGCACGGGUGCGUAACGCGUGGGAACCUGCCCUUAGGUUCGGAAUAACUCCCCGAAAGGGGUGCUAAUACCGGAUAAUGUCUUCGGACCAAAGAUUUAUCGCCUUUGGAUGGGCCCGCGUUGGAUUAGCUAGUUGGUAGGGUAAAAGCCUACCAAGGCGACGAUCCAUAGCUGGUCUGAGAGGAUGAUCAGCCACACUGGGACUGAGACACGGCCCAGACUCCUACGGGAGGCAGCAGUGGGGAAUAUUGGACAGUGGGCGAAAGCUUGAUCCAGCCAUGCCGCGUGAGUGAUGAAGGCCUUAGGGUUGUAAAGCUCUUUUACCCGGGAUGAUAAUGACAGUACCGGGAGAAUAAGCUCCGGCUAACUCCGUG
rnacentral:rRNA from 1 species